GGAAGCCCACGCUGAGGGAAGAAUCAUGGGAAAGAUUAGAGACGGGGUUCCACCGUGUUAGCCAGGAUGGUCUCGAUCUCCUGACCUCGUCAUCCUCCCGCCUUGGCCUCCCAAAGUGCUGGGAUUACAGGCUUGAGCCACCGCGCCCCGCUCUUUCCUGCUCCAAAUGCUUUUUAAAUAAACUUCCACUCCUGUCCUGGAUUCUGCUUUAUGGCCCUCAGUCGAAUUCUUUCUUCUGAGGAGGCAAGGACUGAAGUUGCUUCUGACCAGUACAGCAGAAAACGAAUACAGCAGGGAUGACUUCCACCAGCUCCACUUUGCAGCUCUGAGGUGUAUUAAAAAUGACCUGGAAGAAGUCAUGCCACGGGCCAGACCUUAACAUUCCUUUCUGCUUACCCCAGGAUUUCAGACAAAGCUUCACUUUCCUAACCAGUCACAAAUCAGAGAAUUUUUGAAUCCACCUAUGACCUGUGAGCUCCUGCUUCAAGAUAUUCCACCUUUUUUAGGCCAAACCAAUGUAUAACCUCCAAGUGUCGAUUUACACUUUUGACUGUAACUUCUGCUUUCCUGAGAUUUACCCCUGCCUUUAAAAACCCUUGCUUGUAAUCCAUCAGGGAGGCCGUGUAUUUAUUAAUCAUGAGCUGCCCAAUUCUCCUUGCUUGGUGCCCUGCAAAUAAACACCCUCUUUUCUCCCACUGC
rnacentral:lncRNA from 1 species